rnacentral:rRNA from 1 species
GACGAACGCUGGCGGCAUGCCUUACACAUGCAAGUCGAACGGCAGCACGGGUGCUUGCGCCUGGUGGCGAGUGGCGAACGGGUGAGUAAUAUAUCGGAACGUACCUUAUUGUGGGGGAUAACGCAGCGAAAGCUGUGCUAAUACCGCAUAAUCCCUAAGGGGGAAAGCGGGGGACCGUAAGGCCUCGCGCAAUUAGAGCGGCCGAUACCUGAUUAGCUAGUUGGUGAGGUAAAGGCUCACCAAGGCAACGAUCAGUAGCUGGUCUGAGAGGACGAUCAGCCACACUGGGACUGAGACACGGCCCAGACUCCUACGGGAGGCAGCAGUGGGGAAUUUUGGACAAUGGGGGCAACCCUGAUCCAGCAAUGCCGCGUGAGUGAAGAAGGCCUUCGGGUUGUAAAGCUCUUUUGUCAGGGAAGAAACAGCAGCUCUAACACAGUAUGCGAAUGACGGUACCUGAAGAAUAAGCACCGGCUAACUACGUGCCAGCAGCCGCCGUAA